UCGAACGAUGACCUCCAGCUUGCUGGGGUGAUUAGUGGCGAACGGGUGAGUAACACGUGAGUAACCUGCCCUUAACUCUGGGAUAAGCCUGGGAAACUGGGUCUAAUACCGGAUAUGACUCCUCAUCGCAUGGUGGGGGGUGGAAAGCUUUUUGUGGUUUUGGAUGGACUCGCGGCCUAUCAGCUUGUUGGUGAGGUAAUGGCUCACCAAGGCGACGACGGGUAGCCGGCCUGAGAGGGUGACCGGCCACACUGGGACUGAGACACGGCCCAGACUCCUACGGGAGGCAGCAGUGGGGAAUAUUGCACAAUGGGCGCAAGCCUGAUGCAGCGACGCCGCGUGAGGGAUGACGGCCUUCGGGUUGUAAACCUCUUUCAGUAGGGAAGAAGCGAAAGUGACGGUACCUGCAGAAGAAGCGCCGGCUAACUACGUGCCAGCAGCCGCGGUAAUACGUAGGGCGCAAGCGUUAUCCGGAAUUAUUGGGCGUAAAGAGCUCGUAGGCGGUUUGUCGCGUCUGCCGUGAAAGUCCGGGGCUCAACUCCGGAUCUGCGGUGGGUACGGGCAGACUAGAGUGAUGUAGGGGAGACUGGAAUUCCUGGU
rnacentral:rRNA from 1 species